AUUGUAUCUUUUUGAUAUAAUCGAACCACUGUAACUAAUCGAGAAUGAUUAACGCCAAGAAGGUACCCGCAUCUCUACAAUGAUGGAAGACCUCUAGACUUAAUAUUUAAUGAAAAAAAUUAGAUUUAAGUCUCUUCUAAAUCAGUAGAUCUGACAUCCGACUGAUUAAAUUUAGAUUAGCACAUCAACAUGUCAACCAGCUU
rnacentral:lncRNA from 1 species